UGUACGAUCAUGCAAUACAUAGUUGUAGCUCGCUUGCACUCUCCGUAUCUCCCCGUACGAACAAACGAAAUGAAACUGAAACAUUUCAUCUCUCGUCUAGCUGAAACUUCGCCCGGCCUGUUUCGUACCGAGUAAUAUCGACGAGAUACGAAAAAUUUCCAGAAUUUCGCGAAAACGCAGAAAUUGGUAAUCGCGUGGCCGACCGGUAACUGUACACUCGUACUUGAACGCGCCUUGACCGUUUAUUUUGAAUUUGUCGCGAGUUCGAUGACCGAUGACGACGAACGACGGCCGUGAAGAAAGGCUGUGCCCGCUCGAUCCCUUGUAUUUAAGGGAUCUCUCUGCUUGGACGUCCCCUCUAACGUCUCGUUUUGUUUCGCAGCUCGAAUGUCGAUAAAAUCUCGCAGCCGUGAACGAGAAAACCGGCCCGGCGACGAUUCAUCGGGGAGGAGAGACAGCCGAGCGUGGUUCGAC